GUGGAGAAGAACUGGGCCCAUUCUGUUUACCAGUGCUGGCUGCAGGUGGUGCAGUUUUCAGUGCACCUCAUUGGUUUGGUGAGCAUAUUUCUCAGAUGUAAUGGUUUUGCCAGAAUUCAGAAAGCUGCAAUCAGAAUGGC